UUAAAUUUCUUUUUAGGAAAUAGGAGAAACAGAUUCAUUUCUAGGUUAAAUGCAAGUUGGUGUAGAAUUGUACACCGCGGAUGAUUGCAUCGUCUAGACAUGUAUGUGAGAAGUAAGAGCAUGUAUGUGAAGUAGUGGCUAUUUAAAGCUAUAAGAUCGACGUUCUUUGGUGCUUCCGCAGCCACUGUUAUUCAAUUAGGUUGUACUGCAUCAUUGAAAGGAAUUUGGCAAUUGGAACUGUAAAUUGAGAAGGUUCGAAUUUUAUUUCGUCACCGCUAUAUAUAAUAUAUGGUGCUUCAAGAAUUGAAGGCGUUUAUGGAUGGGGCUCAUCAACUACGUUAAUAUUAAUAACAUUUUAAAAUUUUUAUUUGAUAUUUAAAAUUUAUAAAAUACGUUUUUAGAUUUAAUAA